rnacentral:rRNA from 1 species
GAUGAACGCUGACAGAAUGCUUAACACAUGCAAGUCUACUUGAACUUCGGUUUGGGUGGCGGACGGGUGAGUAACGCGUAAAGAACUUGCCUCACAGAUAGGGACAACAUUUGGAAACGAAUGCUAAUACCUGAUAUUAUGAUUUUAGGGCAUCCUAGAAUUAUGAAAGCUAUAAGCACUGUGAGAGAGCUUUGCGUCCCAUUAGCUAGUUGGAGAGGUAACAGCUCACCAAGGCGAUGAUGGGUAGCCGGCCUGAGAGGGUGAACGGCCACAAGGGGACUGAGACACGGCCCUUACUCCUACGGGAGGCAGCAGUGGGGAAUAUUGGACAAUGGACCGAGAGUCUGAUCCAGCAAUUCUGUGUGCACGAUGAAGUUUUUCGGAAUGUAAAGUGCUUUCAGUUGGGAAGAAAGAAAUGACGGUACCAACAGAAGAAGUGACGGCUAAAUACGUGCCAGCAGCCGCGGUAAUACGUAUGUCACAAGCGUUAUCCGGAUUUAUUGGGCGUAAAGCGCGUCUAGGUGGUUAUGUAAGUCUGAUGUGAAAAUGCAGGGCUCAACUCUGUAUUGCGUUGGAAACUGUAUAACUAGAGUACUGGAGAGGUAAGCGGAACUACAAGUGUAGAGGUGAAAUUCGUAGAUAUUUGUAGGAAUGCCGAUGAGGAAGCCAGCUUACUGGACAGAUACUGACGCUAAAGCGCGAAAGCGUGGGUAGCAAACAGG